rnacentral:rRNA from 1 species
CAGUAGCCACGGUAAUACGUAGGGUGCAAGCGUUAAUCGGAAUUACUGGGCGUAAAGCGUGCGUAGGUGGUGGUUUAAGUCCGUUGUGAAAGCCCUGGGCUCAACCUGGGAAUUGCAGUGGAUACUGGGUCACUAGAGUGUGGUAGAGGAUAGUGGAAUUUCCGGUGUAGCAGUGAAAUGCGUAGAGAUCGGAAGGAACAUCUGUGGCGAAGGCGACUAUCUGGGCCAACACUGACACUGAGGCACGAAAGCGUGGGGAGCAAACAGGAUUAGAUACCCGCGUAGUCCCUGUCUCUUAUAA